GCUCAGGAUGAACGCUGGCGGCGUGCCUAACACAUGCAAGUCGAGCGAUUCUCUUCGGAGAAGAGCGGCGGACGGGUGAGUAACGCGUGGGUAACCUGCCCUGUACACACGGAUAACAUACCGAAAGGUAUGCUAAUACGAGAUAAUAUACUUUUAUCGCAUGGUAGAAGUAUCAAAGCUCCGGCGGUACAGGAUGGACCCGCGUCUGAUUAGCUAGUUGGUAAGGUAACGGCUUACCAAGGCGACGAUCAGUAGCCGACCUGAGAGGGUGAUCGGCCACAUUGGAACUGAGACACGGUCCAAACUCCUACGGGAGGCAGCAGUGGGGAAUAUUGCACAAUGGGCGAAAGCCUGAUGCAGCAACGCCGCGUGAGCGAUGAAGGCCUUCGGGUCGUAAAGCUCUGUCCUCAAGGAAGAUAAUGACGGUACUUGAGGAGGAAGCCCCGGCUAACUACGUGCCAGCAGCCGCGGUAAUACGUAGGGGGCUAGCGUUAUCCGGAAUUACUGGGCGUAAAGGGUGCGUAGGUGGUUUCUUAAGUCAGAGGUGAAAGGCUACGGCUCAACCGUAGUAAGCCUUUGAAACUGGGAAACUUGGGUGCAGGAGAGGAGAGUGGAAUUCCUAGUGUAGCGGUGAAAUGCGUAGAUAUUAGGAGGAACACCAGUUGCGAAGGCGGCUCUCUGGACUGUAACUGACACUGAGGCACGAAAGCGUGGGGAGCAAACAGGAUUAGAUACCCUGGUAGUCCACGCCGUAAACGAUGAGUACUAGCUGUCGGAGGUUACCCCCUUCGGUGGCGCAGCUAACGCAUUAAGUACUCCGCCUGGGAAGUACGCUCGCAAGAGUGAAACUCAAAGGAAUUGACGGA
rnacentral:rRNA from 1 species